rnacentral:rRNA from 1 species
UACAGAGGUCUCAAGCGUUGUUCGGAUUCAUUGGGCGUAAAGGGUGCGCAGGUGGUCGGGUAAGUCUGAUGUGAAAUCCCGCAGCUCAACUGCGGAAUGGCAUUGGAUACUAUUUGGCUAGAGGGUUGGAGGGGGGACUGGAAUUCUCGGUGUAGCAGUGAAAUGCGUAGAUAUCGAGAGGAACACCAGUGGCGAAGGCGAGUCCCUGGACAACUCCUGACGCUGAGGCACGAAAGCUAGGGGAGCAAACAGG